rnacentral:lncRNA from 1 species
GGUUUGACAAAUAACUGAUGCAUUUACGACUGUGGUUUAACCGCAUCAAGAAUAAAUACGGACAUCUGAUUAGUUUCAGAUACUUAUGAUAUAAUCAAGCAAGUGAUAAUAUCAACCUAUUGACAUAUUUAAUCUGAAUUUCUCACCCUUUUCAUAUAUCAUAGAGCAUGAAAAAGUGACCUAUUCUAGCGGCUCAUCCCUACCACUAAUUAUAUAGCAAGUGGCCCCCCCCCC